AACCCGAUCCCGCUGCCUCUCUACUCCCCUUUUAAAACAGAGGAACUUGCUCCUCGCCUCCCUUUCGCCCUCCCUGCGGCCAUCGCCCUCCCGCUCCCGCUGCUCUACGGCUGACUACGAGCCCCGGACCCCCGAGGACGGACGGGACCCUCGCCUAGGCUCCGCUCGUACGUAUCUGCCUUUUCACCCUCUCCUUGUGCUUUCUCUGCAGCUCCCCUGCCCUGAAAGCCUUCUCGCUGCCGCUCGAGUUCUCUACCUGCCCGAGGGAAGGGAGAUGCGUUUGGGGGGCUAAGGUGCACUGACUGCUACCCCCGCAGGAGCCGGGCUGGGAGCGGAGACCGCACCCCGGGGAGGAUGAACGCGCUGCACCUGCCGGCUGAGUGGUAACUCGUGCGGGUGGAAUGGAUGUGGUGAUUGUUCUAAAGAAAAGGUGCCUACAACUUUGAUAAGCAGAGGAAAGACCCUGCAAAGAUUCAGAGAUCAUCAUGCAGACGUCUGGGCUAAGCUCUUACUGCCGUGCACGUCCUACCUGAGUUAUUCUGGGGGAGAAGGAAUUGCUUUGGCUGUGUGCUUGGGCUUCUCCUGCAUUGACUUAAGAAAAAGGGUUGCAAAUGUUAUCCCAGUGCCUCUGCCUCCCUUACUCCAAUAAAUGUUUGCAAAUGCU